rnacentral:rRNA from 1 species
AUUGAACGCUGGCGGGAUGCCUUACACAUGCAAGUCGAACGGAGUGGCGGACGGGGGCGGGUGGGAAAGGAACGGGCCCAGUAGCGGGGGAUGACUACGCGAAAGCGUAACUUAUACCGCAUACUAUUGGCACGGCCGAUAUCGGAUUGGCGAGUGGGUGGGGUAACGGAUAACCCAGGCCAAGAUCCGUAGCCGGUUUGAGAGGAUGAGCAGCCACACUGGGACUGAGACACGGCCCAGACUCCUACGGGAGGCAGCAGUGGGGAAUAUUGGACAAGGGGGGAAACCCUGAUCCAGCCAUCCCGCGUGUGUGAUGAAGGCCUUCGGGUUGUAAAGCACUUUUGGCAGGGAAGCGGUACCUGCAGAAGAAGCACCGGCUAACUACGUGCCAGCCGCCGCGGUAAUAC